ensembl:snRNA LOC120098445 U6 spliceosomal RNA
UCGCUUCAGCAGCGAAUGGUACAGAGAAGAGCGGCAUGGCCCCUGUGCAAGGAUGGCAGGCAAAUUUGUAAAGCGUUCCAUAUUUUU